UACGUAGGGGGCUAGCGUUGUCCGGAAUCAUUGGGCGUAAAGCGCGUGUAGGCGGUCCGGUAAGUCCGCUGUGAAAGUCGGGGGCUCAACCCUCGGAUGCCGGUGGAUACUGUCGGGCUAGAGUCCGGAAGAGGCGAGUGGAAUUCCUGGUGUAGCGGUGAAAUGCGCAGAUACCAGGAGGAACACCAAUGGCGAAGGCAGCUCGCUGGGACGGUACUGACGCUGAGGCGCGAAAGCGUGGGGAGCAAACAGG
rnacentral:rRNA from 1 species